UACGUAGGGAGCAAGCGUUGUCCGGAAUCAUUGGGCGUAAAGCGCGCGUAGGCGGCCCCGUAAGUCCGCUGUGAAAGUCAAAGGCUCAACCUUUGAAAGCCGGUGGAUACUGUGGGGCUAGAGUACGGAAGAGGCGAGUGGAAUUCCUGGUGUAGCGGUGGAAUGCGCAGAUAUCGGGAGGAACACCGGUGGCGAAGGCGGUUCUCUGGGCCUUACCUGACGCUGAGGAGCGAAAGCGUGGGGAGCGAACAGG
rnacentral:rRNA from 1 species